rnacentral:rRNA from 1 species
GGCGUAAGCGUGCGUAGGUGGUUUGUUAAGUCUGAUGUGAAAGCCCUGGGCUCAACCUGGGAAUGGCAUUGGAAACUGGCUUACUAGAGUGCGGUAGAGGGUAGUGGAAUUCCCGGUGUAGCAGUGAAAUGCGUAGAUAUCGGGAGGAACAUCUGUGGCGAAGGCGACUACCUGGACCAGCACUGACACUGAGGCACGAAAGCGUGGGGAGCAAACAGGAUUAGAUACCCUGGUAGUCCACGCCCUAAACGAUGCGAACUGGAUGUUGGGAGCAACUUGGCUCUCAGUAUCGAAGCUAACGCGUUAAGUUCGCCGCCUGGGAAGUACGGUCGCAAGACUGAAACUCAAAGGAAUUGACGGGGGCCCGCACAAGCGGUGGAGUAUGUGGUUUAAUUCUAUGCAACGCGAAGAACCUUACCUGGUCUUGACAUCCACGGAACUUUCCAGAGAUGGAUUGGUGCCC